rnacentral:rRNA from 1 species
UACGUAGGGUGCAAGCGUUAAUCGGAAUUACUGGGCGUAAAGCGUGCGCAGGCGGUUCUAUAAGACAGAUGUGAAAUCCCCGGGCUCAACCUGGGAACUGCAUUUGUGACUGUAGAGCUGGAGUACGGUAGAGGGGGAUGGAAUUCCGCGUGUAGCAGUGAAAUGCGUAGAUAUGCGGAGGAACACCGAUGGCGAAGGCAAUCCCCUGGACCUGUACUGACGCUCAUGCACGAAAGCGUGGGGAUCAAACAGG